UUUAUGCUUAUGGGGAUGCUUCACUUUCCCACUGCAGGCUGCUGUGGCUUUCUGCCCUUGGAGGAAGCCUCGAUGUAUUGCCCUUUGCAUCCGGAAUGAAAAGUUUGCUCAUGAAGCUGGAGGAAAACCUUAUGCUUUCAGAAGGUGACACCUGAGCCUGCUUGAAUCAGCCUGUCCCCCUGUUUCUUCCAAAGGAAACACGUUCAAGCCUCCAGCCGCCACCACACACCUCGAAGCCAAACGGACAUUCACCAGCCAGGGGACUGGGCACUUAGAGCAACGUCCUUCGGUGGGUCCGUGUUACUCCACGAAUAAGCCUGAGGCCACGGAGGCCACUUGGGCCAAGCAGCCCUGGGUCCUGUGGCCGCAGAGUGGCCCUGAACCUGGCCAGCCGAUGCCUGCCACCAGAAGAGAGAUCAGAAAUGGGCGACAGGAGUGCCGAGGCAGAAAGAGCCACUCCAAACUGUAAAACUGGGAUGGAUUCAUAACUCAUCAUGCUAACAGCUCCCAGUGAGCGUGCAUGCAGGCACACGCACCAAGCGCUGGGCUCGGUGUCUCAGACGCCCCGGCUUGAUUCCUUCAAACAGCUCCAUGGGGCAAAUUCUGUUUCUAUCCCCAGGGUCCAGCUGAGGAAACAAAAAUCAAGUAUCCUGUGAAGAUGACAAAGCUAGUCUGUGGGAGAGCCAGGGGUUGAAUGCGGCUCUCUCCGCCCCUGGAGCCCUGGCUGAUGUCCUCCGGGAGGGACCAAGGGAAAACCCUCCGACCGAGGAAAAGGAAAAGCCAGCCAUGCACUGGAGCAAUGGUUCCCAACCUUGCCUGCACACCGACUCACCGGGAGGCGGUAAAGAUUGCGGACACCAGGCUCUUGCCUCGCGAGACACUGACAUAAUGGAUCUUGGAAGCAGCCUGGGCACAGGGAUUAGUUUUUUAAAGACCGAGAACCCCUGCCUUAGAGAAACAGUGACAGGAAUUCAAUAAUUAAAAUUACAUGUCAACACUGACUGGAGGGUGUCAAAGGCAGGAAUUUCCCUCGCGGCAAAGUGCUUAGCUGAUGGAAUAAGAAGUGUCCUGUGAGAAAGAGCAAGAAACACAGCCAAAGCCUGCCUCUGGCUCUGCCGCCCGGUGGAGAGA